AUUGAACGCUGGCGGCAUGCCUAACACAUGCAAGUCGAACGAUGAUUAAGAGCUUGCUCUUAUGAUUAGUGGCGGACGGGUGAGUAAUGUAUAGGCAUCUGCCUGUUAGUGGGGGACAACAGCCGGAAACGGCUGCUAAUACCGCAUACGCUCUACGGAGGAAAGUGGGGGACCCUCGGGCCUCACGCUAACAGAUGAACCUAUAUUGGAUUAGCUAGUUGGUAGGGUAAAGGCCUACCAAGGCGACGAUCCAUAGCUGGUUUGAGAGAAUGAUCAGCCACACUGGGACUGAGACACGGCCCAGACUCCUACGGGAGGCAGCAGUGGGGAAUAUUGGACAAUGGGCGCAAGCCUGAUCCAGCAAUGCCGCGUGUGUGAAGAAGGCCUUCGGGUUGUAAAGCACUUUAAGUUGGGAGGAAAAGCUGAGGGUUAAUAGCCUUUAGUGUUGACGUUACCAACAGAAUAAGCACCGGCUAACUCCGUG
rnacentral:rRNA from 1 species